UCCCUUAUGGUAUAAUGGAAAGUACGCAUGGAAUUGUAGGGUGUCAAAAUCGGACAUGGUAUUGCCUCUCUCUCCAUGAUAUCCGGGUUCGAAUCCAGGUGAGAGAC